GAUGAAGAACGCAGCGAAAUGCGAUACGUAAUGUGAAUUGCAGAAUUCAGUGAAUCAUCGAAUCUUUGAACGCACAUUGCGCCCGCCGGCAUUCCGGCGGGCACGCCUGUCCGAGCGUCAUUGCACCCGUCAAGCCUCGCUUGGUGUUGGGGGACGUCGCGCCUUCGCGGCGCGACCCCCCCCGGAACCCGUUGGCGGUGGCCCUUCGCCCCGAUCGUCGCGCUCGUUACGACGGCGCGGGGGGACCGCCCGCCCAACCGGCGGCUGGCAACAGCCGCCACGCAACACGCAAACGCUUGACCUCGGAUCAGGCGGGGAUACCCGCUGAACUUAAGCAUAUCAAUAAGCGGAGGA
rnacentral:misc_RNA from 1 species